rnacentral:piRNA from 1 species
UCCUAACAAAUGGAUCAGGGGCU